UCGUCAGCUCGUGCCGUGAGGUGUCGGGUUAAGUCCCAUAACGAGCGCAACCCCUAUCAUUAGUUGCCAUCAGGUCAAGCUGGGGACUCUAAUGAAACUGCCUACGCAAGUAGUGAGGAAGGUGGGGAUGACGUCAAAUCAGCAGGCCCUUACGUCCAGGGCUACACACGUGCUACAAUGGCCGGUACAAAGGGCAGCUACCUGGUGACAGGAUGCUAAUCUCAAAAGCCGGUCUCAGUUCGGAUCGGAGUCUGCAACCCGACUCCGUGAAGCUGGAAUCGCUAGUAAUCACGCAUCAGCCAUGGCGCGGUGAAUACGUUCCCGGGCCUU
rnacentral:rRNA from 1 species